AUGCAAGCAUUGGAGACAUUGAAAGAGGUCAGGUUCUCUAGGCAACCAUUUGGCUUCCUGUCCGGCCUUGGCCAACUAAAGAAUUUGAGGAAUCUGGUUCUUUUCUUUGGUUUCGAAGAGUAUUCUGACACUAAGGGUACAAAUAUGGUUGAAGGGGAGUGCAUCAAAUCUAUCAUCUCUUCCCUGUGUAAACUAGGCACCCAGGACCUUCGCUCUCUAACUAUUUGGGAUUGGAGCAGCCUCUUACAAGAACCUUUGUGCCCACUUACCCUCGAUAAACUUAUUAACUUCUCUUUAGGCACCCCACAGGUUCCGAAAUGGGUGAGCUCCCUCAGAAACCUCCAGGAGAUACACCUUCUAGUGGAUGAAGUCAAGCAGGAUGAUCUCUGCAUCCUUGGGGCCUUACCCACUCUGCUCAUUCUGCAUCUGGAGGAAGAAACAAUGUCAAACAAAAAAUUCAGAAUCAGUGGUGAAGUUGGGUUCCAAUUCUUGAGGAUUUUUAUUUACGAGGCAAAUCCUCACCUGGUAGAUCUGAUGUUUGCAGCAGGAUCCAUGCCCAAGCUAGAAAAACUCGUGCUUUCUUUCCGCAUAGUAGCUGGCUCUCUGGACUUUGGAAUCAAGAACCUCCCCUGCCUCGAUACGGUCAAAUGUAGUACAAAUGACGACGAUGGCAUUUUUAGAGCCAUACAGACUGCCAUGGAGAGAGCAGCCAGCACACACCCCAAUCACCCUAGUUUACUCUUUUGGAAAGAUGUCAGAUUUUAUUUGUCUGGAAGGCCCAGCUUUGAUUAA
rnacentral:rRNA from 1 species